GAGUUUGAUCAUGGCUCAGAUUGAACGCUGGCGGCAUGCCUAACACAUGCAAGUCGAACGGAAACAGGACGCUGGGAUCUCUUCGGAGUGAACUUGUCGCUGUCGAGUGGCGGACGGGUGAGUAAUGCAUAGGAAAUUGCCUUGAAGUGGGGGGAUAGCCCGGAGAAAUCCGGAUUAAUACCGCAUGCGCUCUACGGAGCAAAGCAGGCCUCUGAUUUAAGCUUGCGCUUUGAGAUAUGCCUAUGUCGGAUUAGCUAGUUGGUAGGGUAAAAGCCUACCAAGGCGACGAUCCGUAGCUGGUUUGAGAGGAUGAUCAGCCACACUGGGACUGAGAUACGGCCCAGACUCCUACGGGGAGGCAGCAGUGGGGAAUAUUGGACAAUGGGCGCAAGCCUGAUCCAGCAAUGCCGCGUGUGUGAAGAAGGCCUGCGGGUUGUAAAGCACUUUUAUCGGGAAAGAAAAC
rnacentral:rRNA from 1 species